AAGAAAAGUAAUUCAAAUUUAAGCUGCUAACUUAAAAUUUUAGCGGUUAGUACCGCUAUUUUCUUU
rnacentral:tRNA from 1 species